rnacentral:rRNA from 1 species
UACGGAGGGAGCUAGCGUUGUUCGGAAUUACUGGGCGUAAAGCGCACGUAGGCGGCUUUGUAAGUUAGAGGUGAAAGCCCGGGGCUCAACUCCGGAAUUGCCUUUAAGACUGCAUCGCUCGAAUUGUGGAGAGGUAAGUGGAAUUCCGAGUGUAGAGGUGAAAUUCGUAGAUAUUCGGAAGAACACCAGUGGCGAAGGCGACUUACUGGACACAUAUUGACGCUGAGGUGCGAAAGCGUGGGGAGCAAACAGG